rnacentral:misc_RNA from 1 species
AUCCAGAACAUACUUAAUGAUUGUUAUGCUGCUUAGCCUAUUAAAUAAUCAUGCAACCAUCCAGCAAGAAGUAUUAGCUUGCAACUAUAAUAUUUCAAAAAUCCCAACUCAAACCCAAAAAGUCAAUCAUUGUCUAAACAAAUUUUAGAAUAGCAUUCCAAAAAAUCUCAUCUUUCUUGUAGUAACUAACCAUUAAUGCUAUAAAAAAAAUAAGCAGGGAACAUCCACCAAAACAACA